GUCGUCGUGGCCGAGUGGUUAAGGCGACAGACUAGAAAUCUGUUGGGCUCUGCCCGCACAGGUUCGAAUCUUGUCGGCGACG
rfam:Ciona savignyi cont_23069, whole genome shotgun sequence.